rnacentral:rRNA from 1 species
UACGGGGGGGGCAAGCGUUGUUCGGAAUUACUGGGCGUAAAGGGCGCGUAGGCGGCCCGCUAAGUCGAACGUGAAAUCCCCGGGCUCAACCCGGGAACUGCGUCCGAUACUGGCAGGCUUGAAUCCGGGAGAGGGAUGUGGAAUUCCAGGUGUAGCGGUGAAAUGCGUAGAUAUCUGGAGGAACACCGGUGGCGAAGGCGGCAUCCUGGACCGGUAUUGACGCUGAGGCGCGAAAGCCAGGGGAGCAAACAGG